GCGGGGCCUGCCGCCGCCACCGCCUCAGGGAAGAGGAAGGAGGCCGCGGCUUCGCGUCCCGCCUCUCGCCUGGCUGGCCGUGGGGGGCCUGGACGCAGUGGCCUCCCGAAUCUCCCAGGACCCUAAUAUCGCCCGAGGAUGCUGGGAGGAACGCUGAGCCGACCUCUCCGUUAGGCUGAAGAUUGCACAAACCAUGCUAAUGGCCAGCAUGGAUGGAGGGAGCGUGUGAGAUGUGUGGGGCAGCGUGCUGCAUCUCAGCCAACUCCAGGAGCCAGUUGAUGUGAUGGACUACCUUAAUUGAUUUUUGAAUGUUGAGCCAGCCUUAUGCAUGUGGGAUAAACCCCUGUUGAUCAUGGCUGGCUGGAGUGCAGUGGUGCAAUCAUGGCUCACUGCAACCUCAAAUUCCUGGGCUCAAGGGAUCCUCCUGCCUCAGCCUCCCAAGUAGCUAGGACUACAGUUCCUGCUGGAAUCUUGCUGUUGCCCAUUCAAGUCUGGUGGUUCCUGUGUGUUGGGGUGGCCUUGCUUCUCCUGCUCUUAGCUCUGGAGGAGCCCUCGGCUGGUGCUGCAGUGAAUCUGUCAGAGUCGUCCUAACCAGAGUGCCCCCAUCCUGAAUAGAGGCUGGAUAAAGCCAAACCUGCUGGGUUAUAGUCCCAGGGGAUUGGGCAGUCCUGGUCACAAGAUAUUUAAGGUUGAGGGAAUAAGUUAAUGAUGCUAAGUAAAUAAAGACCCUGAAUUCUUUCCCGUGAGAGAUUCAAGAACUCACUCUUGGCAUCUGGGAUAAGACCCUUUUUCCGGUAACAAACCCCUGCCCUGGCCCUUUCUUCCUUCUGGAAAACUUAAAAAAAAAAUAGGCCUCAAAAAGACUGCAUUAAUCUGAGAAACUGCUGAAUAUGGCUACUAAGAGAAGCUGGGAUUUUCUGAUUUUUAAUGUCGGUUUCAAAGAGAGCAGGUAUACUUUGCAGGAGGGAACCAUGCUAGCUGCAGAAUCAUGGACGAGCUGGACCACAAGUUUUUACACAGUGUGCAUGCUUUUGUUCUCCUGUCAACUUCUGUUGUUUUCCUGUCAACUUCUGUUGUUUUCAUCAAAAGCCAUCAACCCGCCUCAGCCAGGGCAUCAUAAUGUACAUGCAACAGAGUGUUCCAAGAAACUUUCAGCUGAGACCCUAAGACCCUGGACAUGCAAUGCCAGAGUGAAGUGUGAGGACCACAGCUGUGCAGGACAUGCAGAAAGGAGGGGCAGAGAGCCAAUGAGAUGAUGUCCCACGACUCACCUGUGUCAGUGGAGACCGAAGGAGACUUGGAGGGUGCUUUUGGAGAGAACUGCUGAUGUUUUGUGAGCCUCACUCUCUCUGUGUGUGGAAAUGCUGGAGGAUGAAACCGUCUAAACUCUCCUGAAGUCCCGGGAAUGGAGUUUUAAUGGUAAUGUGUGAUGGGAUGUGUGUUCUCUUAUGGUAUGGGAGACACAGAGGACUCACAGAGGACUGGCCUCUGCCUCUUGACCAGGGAUCAGGAGAGAUGGGAACUGAGCUGGUCAGCUGCUCUUCAGAGCUGGUCGAGGAGAGAUUUCUGCUGUGCUGGGAGGGCCUAAAAACAUGCAUGGAUGGAGCCCAAGGACCAGGUGCAGAUCUUAUGCAAGAAUGAACCAGGGGGUGACUUAGGUCCACCAAAAGACUGCCCAGAGGGACAAAAGGCUAUCAGUGAAAAGAAUCCACAGAUGAACUGCCAGUUCCUCAGGGCUGAGGCAAGAUCUUAAUUUUGAGUAGGAGCAGAGUGUAUUACCUACAACAAGGAUACCACAGAUGAGAAAACCCUAGUUUUAAACCUGCUACAUCCAAAGAGAGCAAUGCAACUCUGGCAGUAGCAAAAAUGUUGUGCCUCUCCUUUCCUCACUCCUAAUUUCCCAUCCCAGAGAAGGGUCAGAAACCAUCUUCUGCAAGAUGGGAGGAAGGGUAGCAGCCAGACUGCAAAAAGGGAGAAGAAACCAGCUACCUCUUGCUGUUCUCAGUGGCAGACUCCCCACCUGCAACAGGUCAGGUCUGUUACUGGAGAGAAAAGACAGGACAUUUUUAAAUUCUAGGUAUAGAGCAAUAAAAGAAGAAUUCAAGCAAAGGGAUCAGGAAGAGGAUUGCUACUAAGAGGCAGAGAAACCAAUGAAGCCUUUUGCCAUCUCACACUGGAAAGACAAAAAGUCAUAGAGGCUUGAUUUUUAUAAGGAAAGAGAAGUGAGAAACUGACCUCGAUACUUUGUUGGACUUGCCUAAAGACAUUUGCUGAAUUCUCGGGCUGUGCUGGGAUGGAGAUUAGAGGCCAAAUAAAAACCUCUGGAAGCAUGCUCAUGGCAAUACCCGGAGUCUCCACUGCAAGACCAGAGUGACGGAGGCAGCAGAGCUCCUCAGCAGGCCAGGAGUCUCCAGAGGCACUGCCGAAUGUCUAAGAAGCAACCUCAUUGUAUUCCCAAGACCUGGGAAUCCAGGUCUCGCAGAUACGAUGAUACAAUCUAUAGCCAGGACAUCUCUUCAUGUGUAGGAUAAGCAACUAUCCCAGUCUUCCCAGGAUUGAGGGGCUUCUCCAGAUGCUGCACUUCUGGUGCUAAAAAUGAGAAACUGAAAUGAAUUAGUCACCCAAGGAAUGCUGACCCUGUGCUAUAUGAUCACAUUUACUCUUUAAAGCAAUGCUUUGAG
rnacentral:lncRNA from 1 species